UACGAAGGGGGCGAGCGUUGUUCGGAAUUACUGGGCGUAAAGGCGUGCGCAGGCGGCUUUGCAAGACAGAUGUGAAAUCCCCGGGCUUAACCUGGGAACUGCAUUUGUGACUGCAUGGCUGGAGUGCGGGCAGGAGGGGGAUGGAAUUCCGCGUGUAGCAGUGAAAUGCGUAGAUAUGCGGAGGAACACCGAUGGCGAAGGCCAAUCCCCUGGGCCGCACUGACGCUCAUGCACGAAAGCGUGGGGAGCAAACAGG
rnacentral:rRNA from 1 species